rnacentral:sRNA from 1 species
CCCUAGCCCAGAUUGAAAUGAAAAGCCCGCAAAGGAAAAACAAAUUAAUUUUCUUGCUACAAAAAAGCGACCAACGGAAGCUCUUUUUGUAGUGUAGAAAAUUUUUGUUUUUCCUGCGGACUUGAAAUGGAAAGCUGGAGUAGCU